rnacentral:sRNA from 2 species
ACGCAGCCUAUCCCGGAAGAAAAUUUGUUCUCCAUCCCAAUGGGGGAGAGACGGAUUCGAGUUGAACGUGGGUAGAAAUAGAAAAUCAAAAUUUCUAACCAUGCCAUAGAGUUUAGCUCCUUUUUUAUCCUCUUCGAGAUCCUGCAAUCCUAUAACAUUGGGAUUCUAUUUUUCUUCUAGAGAUGGAAACAUAUACGAAUCAUUGUCAGUUAAUUAGAGGAAUGGUUGGUGGACCCUGCUGACGGGUCCUCCUGAGUGGAGAUACUGAUUUAGCUGACGGGCACUGUUGCUUGAACAUGGGUGAUUCGAGCUACGAUGAGAGCUAUUUUCCUCGCCACGUCAACGGGGUACCUGAUCCUGUUGCCCUUCCAAAAUUUUCGGGAUGUGCUGUAUGACGACAACAGAAUUUGAAAUUAGAAAUCGGAAAUAACAAAGAGCGGAAGACGGAAUCAACCUACAAUGAGUAAGAACGGGUUCAGAGCCGAGCUUCCUCAUUUGGGCUUAUGAAUGCGGGAUGUAUUGGUUGCAGCGCUAAGGACGGCGGUGUUCGGACCCAGGAAAAAUACCCACAAGCACGACACAAGCACGACACAAGCACGACACAAGCAUAAGCCAAGCAUCCCGCUACUGGAGGUGGAUUCUCCACGGCAACGUAACUGAACGCGGAGACGUCGGCGGGAUGUCGCAACAGAGC